rnacentral:rRNA from 1 species
CCUACGGGACGCAGCAGUGGGGAAUAUUGCACAAUGGGGGAAACCCUGAUGCAGCGACGCCGCGUGAGUGAAGAAGUAUUUCGGUAUGUAAAGCUCUAUCAGCAGGGAAGAAAAAAGACGGUACCUGACUAAGAAGCCCCGGCUAACUACGUGCCAGCAGCCGCGGUAAUACGUAGGGGGCAAGCGUUAUCCGGAUUUACUGGGUGUAAAGGGAGCGUAGACGGCGAUGCAAGUCUGAAGUGAAAGCCCGGGGCUCAACCCCGGGACUGCUUUGGAAACUGGAUGGCUG